rnacentral:misc_RNA from 1 species
AGGACAGCUAGCUCCUAGCAGCUAAUUCAUUUCAUUUGAAUUUUUGAAGUAUCAAAUAUUUUAUAUAAUUUUAAUUAUUUUAAUAAACUUUUCAAUUACGAAUGAGUAUUAAUAAUAAAUAAUGGUCGCAAGUAUCUCAGACGUGGAAUCUUUUCAUCGAUCCGUUCUUGAUCUUAGGAGAGAUCCAGGGUCCGAAUGCAAGAAGUCGGCUGUGGAGAAAGGACUCAGUGCCUUGAAUCCUAAUUCUCUCUCUCAGAGCAAAUCCCUUGUUUCUGACUUGGAAUGGAUUUUAGAGACAUUCUCAACCUCUACAUCCCUGAUUAAAACCAUUUUAAACUUUUUAGAAAAGAUUUGUGAGCAUAAUGAAGAAUUUCGAAUAUUCCUUCGAGAUUCUUCCAAUCUUAUGGAUUUGUCUAUGAAAUUCCUAUCCAAGUACCAUUCCUUGAAGGCUUUACGUUUAAUUCAAUAUCUCGUACUGGGAUGGAAAGUGGGUGGUCCCGAUUUGCCAAAAUUAGAAAAGCUAGUACAAUAUGUUAUGAAGUACAUAACUGAUGGGGAUAGAGAGAUGACAGCUCCAAGUGUUUUUAUUCUUGUAUGUCUCUACCAAUUGGAUUUUACUAUUGAUAAUAUUCUAAUUCAAGAGGACGUGGAGUAUCUUUUCAUACAAAAACAAAGAGAUCCUAAGCUACAGGUUUUAAUUAAGAUGCUACAUUAUAGCAUAAGUCGAUCCAUAUUCAUAGACAAAGCCCUUUCAGAAAAUGAGGGAAAUGAUAAGCAAGAUAAUUAUGUUCUGAUUAUAAUUGAUGCAUUUUGCACUGCAUAUGCAGAUGAAGAUAUAUUAACGAUGAGGCUAUUCACUGAGAUUUUGAAAAGUAUCACAAGAGAAACAAAAAACAAAAGUAACAUUGAAGGUUUGUAUACACUCAAUUUAGUCAGAAGGAUUAAUCAUAUCGCGGAUUUCGGAGAAGGUUCAACUCUCAUCUCUAAUGAGUGCAUGUUUGAGUUUCUUCGCCGUUUUUUAAUGAUGUCAUGGGACUAUAAUAAAGAGGCGUUUAAUUUAAUUAUAAAAUUGAUUUCCCAACGUUUGGAGUCAUGUCUGAAAAGUCCCUUAAUCGAAACAAUUCUUUGUCUGCAGGAUGUUCUUGGAAAAGAUGCUGAAGCUGUUGCUAUUAGCAGUGAGAGUCAAACGAAUGGAAUUGUAUCUAAACUACUAAAGUUAAUUUCAUCCAAUAAAAUUGAUCGCAUGGAGCGACUAGCAGUUCUAAGAGUCCUUCGAACGAUAUCAAAGCCUGAUUUUAAUUGGAGUGAAUAUAUAGUGUCUAAACUUCCAAGUCCAAUCAAUUUUAUUAACUCACAAAUAGAGCUUAUAUUUGAUAAGGAUCGGAGUAUUCCUUGUGUUUCAGUUAUGUUAGUAGACUUAAUAUUGUUUUGUAAGGAACUUAAUGACGUCAAUUGGAAGAAAAUUGUGGAGGACGUUCUUCUGAAAAAUGAACAUGUAAUUCAGAGUUUGAGGAAUUGCUUAAAUGAUUUCUGCCAUCCAAGUAUCACAAAAGACAUCUUUCUUUCUACUUCAAAUGAGUUAUUAAACACUGUUCAUGAAGAGAAAAAUGACGACUACACAUCUAAACCCCGCAAUUUAGAUUUAUAUGGACCCGUCACUGGUAUUUUUGAGGAUAAAAUUGACUCUACUGUUGAUUUUAUACGAAAAAGCAUCGAAAACAACAAAUUUGGAAAUAUAUCUUCUUCAUCGGUUGAGUUAUUUGAAUUAGGGAAUUUUCUAAAAGAUACGGCUGACCACAAAUUGGAAAUUCUUCAACACUCCCUAGAAGUAGCUGAGAAGACUAUUGAUUUAGAAAAUAUUCGUAUUGUCCAAGUGGAGUCUCAAGUGAAGGAAUUUACUCAUGCUUUGAGUCGAAUGGAUGAGCUUUAUAAUAAUAAAAAAGUAGAAAUAAAUGAAAUAGAUAGCGAGUUAGAAUCCUUGGAGUCAAAUUCAUUCAGUCUAAAAAAUGAAAUGAGAGUUGCGCUUGAUAAAAAGAUUAAAGAACAUGAGGAACUUGAGAAAAACUAUGAAAAGUUAAGUUCAAAGGCACUCAAAUAUAAAGACGAUGUGGAAGCACUUCAAGAGACGAUACAGGAGCAUUUUAAAGUUCAAGCUGAACUCCAAGAAAAUUUGAAAUCGGAAAAGAAACUUAAUUCAGAUAUGGUAGCUACAUUGGAAAAACAAGAAGAAAAAUUAAAGAAAAAAGAUCGUGCCCUAAAUGUAGAGAGUAACACGAGACAACUUAUUGAGAAGGAGAUAGAAACUCUAAAAAAAGACUACAAAUCUCAACUUGGUCUCUCAAAAAGACAAUUAGACAAAAAGGAUAAACAAAUUGCCGAAAAAAGGGAAGAAAUAAAUUCAAUGAAGGAAAUUCAAAAUCAAAUAUUAAAAUUAUCUAAACUACAUUCCGCCAAAAGCUGAAAAUCUCCACGCACUCAAGGUCAAUAGAAAUACAUUAACCUUGAACGCACUCAAAUAUUAAUUUUACCUACCCAAAAAUAACAAAAUCAGAUUUGCAGCGUUAAAUAAAGGCAAAACUGGCAUCUUUUUCUCUUGCUUGCUUUGAAAUUAGAAGUUAGGGCUUGAUCAUCAGGUCGAUCCGCAAGUCCAGCACUCUGAAAAGCUUUCACAAUCUGAGCUGAGGCCUCUGUUCGGGGGACGUUUUUCCUUCUUUCAAUGAGUGGAGCUACCCCCUUGAAAUGCACAGACAAAGAACAAAUAUUGCAUUGUCAUUAUGCUAUUACGCAUAAGAAAUUGCGUAUUAGAGAGACUAAUCAAACAAAGAAACAUUUUUUAUUACGCAACUACUUUUGUAAGUUUCAAGUCUAUUAAAAUUUUAUCAUGGGUCAUUUUGACCCGGAAGACAAUCUUUGUGCAUUUUUUUGUAUUGCUUACACAGAAAUGUUUCUGCGAUUUUUUUAAUUUUUUAAAUAUUCGGGACAAGUUAGGAAAAGUCAAAAAAAAAUCAGGCCGAAAAAACGUUAUUUUAUUGGUUUUUAUGGUUAGUUAAACUAUGCGAUGGGUCAUUUUGAUCCGAAAACAACAGGAGGGUUAUUUUUUUUUUUUUUUUAAAGCUUCCAAGACCAAGUUUUUUGGAUUUAGAGUCACAAAAUAAUAUAACAAUUAGGUGUCCUCCUUAGACGAAACAGUUGGUAUUUUCAAAUAUUCUAUCCACAAAGGGAGUUAGUGAGAAUCUUGAAUCCCAAGAUUUAUAUAUCACACUUUGUAUAUGUAUAAAUAUUAUUUAGCCUUACUAGAACAAAAUUUAAACUCCUCCCACCCUGCUAUAUCAAACUCAGCCAAUAUUUCUAUUCAGCUAAGUGCUUAUCAUCAAGCGAUCAAGAAUGUGUUUGCCCUCUUUUUAGAGGUAUGUUUUUCCAUCUUUGUGCGUUUGACAUUUUAUGCAGAAACAUAUUCUAGGAAGUAUGAAAACAUUUUUAAAUUUAGCUCCACACAUGAUAUGAUUAUUUUUUAAGUCUCAUUUAAGUGAUGACUGAUUAGUUACUAUUUAAAAAUGUUUGCUAUGUAUAAAUAAACGUGAAUAAACACUUAACUUUUCA